rnacentral:rRNA from 1 species
AAUGAACGCUGGCGGCGCGCUUAACACAUGCAAGUCGAGCGACAAAGCCCCUUCGGGGGUGAGUAGAGCGGCGGACGGGUGAGUAACACGUGAAAAUCUACCCUUUAGUGAAGAAUACCCUCGAGAAAUUGAGGUUAAUACUGCAUAAUUCCCUUCGGGGACAAAGGUGGCCUCUUGCUGCCGCUAAAGGAUGAGUUCGCGGGCUAUUAGCUUGUUGGUGGGGUAAAGGCCUACCAAGGCGAUGAUGGCUAGCCGGCCUGAGAGGGUGUACGGCCACACUGGAACUUAGACACGGUCCAG